rnacentral:misc_RNA from 1 species
CAGGGACUCCACAGUGG